CUUCACGGCUAAAUGCUUUUCUGUGUCUCGAACAGCGACGAAGAUAAUUAACCGUUAUAUUCCUGAAACACUGUGUAGCGAAUCGCUGAUAAUAAAAUGUGUGUCGUACUAAAAAUAAACGAAUAGGUAAAAGGAUAAUUUAUUUUAUAUUGCACAGGGUGUAUUGUAACACGUGGGACCCGCUUCAGGACUGGACGGAAGGCACAAAGACAAGGAAGAAAGUUCAUACAAACACGUGCUGCUCUAUCUGAUCUUAUAUAAGUUGCAUUAUUUUAUAUCUUACAUUCAAAGACAUUUUCGUGGUUCGAUAAUCCGUAACUGCUUAUCUUGGUAGAAUGGCUAUGAUGGCUCGAGAUGGCUAUCCUCAGCCAUAUUAUAUAUAGACAUUGAAUAUACAGAUGAAUAUGGAUAUGAAGCCAAGCAGUUGCGAAUUAUCGAAACACAAAAGUGUCUGCAACUUUGAAUCGAGCUUACACGAGACACAUGUUCGUACAAACUUUUUCUAUUGUUCUUUUAUCUCCUGUCCGUUCCUGAAGCAGCUCCCACGUGUUACGAUUUACCCUGUAUAUUAGGUGUACGAAUGAAUAGUCCAAAUUUUUCAGUCUAACUCGAGGUUUAGUUUAAACCAAUACUUUAAGGGCAACUGAUGGAUCCACCAUGGAAAAAUGGAGUGUCUCUAAACAAGAUCCAGUGGUCAAGGCAUUGACAAAGGAGAACCUUCCUAAAGUACCUAAGCGAGUACCUAAAA